rnacentral:rRNA from 1 species
UAGGGAAUCUUCCACAAUGGACGCAAGUCUGAUGGAGCAACGCCGCGUGAGUGAAGAAGGUUUUCGGAUCGUAAAGCUCUGUUGUUGGUGAAGAAGGAUAGAGGCAGUAACUGGUCUUUAUUUGACGGUAAUCAACCAGAAAGUCACGGCUAACUACGUGCCAGCAGCCGCGGUAAUACGUAGGUGGCAAGCGUUGUCCGGAUUUAUUGGGCGUAAAGCGAGCGCAGGCGGAAUGAUAAGUCUGAUGUGAAAGCCCACGGCUCAGCCGUGGAACUGCAUCGGAAACUGUCAUUCUUGAGUGCAGAAGAGGAGAGUGGAAUUCCAUGUGUAGCGGUGGAAUGCGUAGAUAUAUGGAAGAACACCAGUGGCGAAGGCGGCUCUCUGGUCUGCAACUGACGCUGAGGCUCGAAAGCAUGGGUAGCGAACAGG